ACGGAAAAACGGAAUGAGUUACACAUGUUGAACUCCACAUGGUCCACUACACUCCCCCACCUUAGUUUGCAAAACUGAGCCCAUCGCAAAACUAUUGAAAAACUCCACAUUGCGCCCCUGGCUUGAAAAACAAAAGUUUCACCUCUUCUGAUGUAUGAACAUUACGCAAUUUUUGAUUAAUUACACCAAGUCCCGCUUCCACGCACAAAGGAGGAAAAAAAUCCAUUAACUUUAUGCAGAUCCAGCCGUGCCGCAAGGGCUCAGCAGGAUGCGGUGACUUUAUGCGCGUGUCGGGUAAGAAAG